CCUACGGGUGGCAGCAGUGGGGAAUAUUGGACAAUGGGGGGAACCCUGAUCCAGCCAUGCCGCGUGUGUGAAGAAGGCCCUCGGGUUGUAAAGCACUUUCAGUGAGGAAGAACGCCUGGUGGUUAAUACCCAUCAGGAAAGACAUCACUCACAGAAGAAGCACCGGCUAACUCCGUGCCAGCAGCCGCGGUAAUACGGAGGGUGCGAGCGUUAAUCGGAAUUACUGGGCGUAAAGCGCGCGUAGGUGGCUUGAUAAGCCGGUUGUGAAAGCCCCGGGCUCAACCUGGGAACGGCAUCCGGAACUGUCAAGCUAGAGUGCAGGAGAGGAAGGUAGAAUUCCCGGUGUAGCGGUGAAAUGCGUAGAGAUCGGGAGGAAUACCAGUGGCGAAGGCGGCCUUCUGGACUGACACUGACACUGAGGUGCGAAAGCGUGGGUAGCAAACAGGAUUAGAUACCCCGGUAAUC
rnacentral:rRNA from 1 species